GACGAACGCUGGCGGCGUGCUUAACACAUGCAAGUCGAACGAUGAAGAAGAGAAACGCGAACUUCGGUUCAAAUUUCACUUCGGAUUAGUGGCAGACGGGUGAGUAACGCGUGAGCAACCUACCUCUUACAAAGGGAUAGCCUCGGGAAACCGUGAUUAAUACCAUAUGACACAUUCAUAAGGCAUCUUAAGAAUGUUAAAGCUACGGCGGUAAGAGAUGGGCUCGCGUCCCAUUAGCUAGUUGGUGAGGUAACGGCCCACCAAGGCGACGAUGGGUAACCGGGCUGAGAAGGUGAACGGUCACAUUGGAACUGAGACACGGUCCAAACUCCGACGGGAGGCAGCAGUGGGGAAUAUUGCACAAUGGAGGGAACUCUGAUGCAGCGACGCCGCGUGAGCGAUGAAGGAAUUCGUUUCGUAAAGCUCUGUUCUAUGGGAAGAAAAGGACUGUACCAUAGGAGAAAGCCCCGGCUAAAUACGUG
rnacentral:rRNA from 1 species